rnacentral:misc_RNA from 1 species
GAUGAAGAACGUAGCGAAAUGCGAUAAGUAAUGUGAAUUGCAGAAUUCAGUGAAUCAUCGAGUCUUUGAACGCACAUUGCGCCCCCUGGUAUUCCGGGGGGCAUGCCUGUCCGAGCGUCAUUGCUGCCCUCAAGCACGGCUUGUGUGUUGGGCCCCCGCCCCCCGGCUUCGGGGGGCGGGCCCGAAAGGCAGCGGCGGCACCGCGUCCGGUCCUCGAGCGUAUGGGGCUUCGUCACCCGCUCUGUAGGCCCGGCCGGCGCCCGCCGGCGACCCCAAUCAAUCUUUCCAGGUUGACCUCGGAUCAGGUAGGGAUACCCGCUGAACUUAAGCAUAUCAAUAAGCGAGGA